rnacentral:rRNA from 1 species
UACGUAGGGGGCUAGCGUUGCUCGGAAUUACUGGGCGUAAAGGGCGCGUAGGCGGAUAGUUUAGUCAGAGGUGAAAGCCCAGGGCUCAACCUUGGAAUUGCCUUUGAUACUGGCUGUCUUGAGUACGGGAGAGGUGAGUGGAACUCCGAGUGUAGAGGUGAAAUUCGUAGAUAUUCGGAAGAACACCAGUGGCGAAGGCGACUCACUGGCCCGUUACUGACGCUGAGGCGCGAAAGCGUGGGGAGCAAACAGG